CGGGGCGUAGCGCAGUCUGGUAGCGCGCUUCGUUCGGGACGAAGAGGCCGUGGGUUCGAAUCCCGCCGCCCCGACCA
rnacentral:tRNA from 2 species